rnacentral:rRNA from 1 species
CCUACGGGCGGCAGCAGUAGGGAAUCUUUCACAAUGGGCGAAAGCCUGAUGGAGCAACGCCGCGUGCAGGAUGAAGGCCUUCGGGUUGUAAACUGCUUUUAUAAGCGAGAAAUAUGAUGGUAACUUAUGAAUAAGGAUCGGCUAACUACGUGCCAGCAGCCGCGGUCAUACGUAGGAUCCGAGCAUUAUCCGGAGUGACUGGGGGUAAAGAGUUGCGUAGGUGGCAUAAUAAGUAGCUAGUGAAAUCUGGUGGCUCAACCAUUCAGACUAUUAGCUAAACUGUUAAGCUCGAGACCGUUAGGGGUAACUGGAAUUUCUAGUGUAGGAGUGAAAUCCGUAGAUAUUAGAAGGAACACCAAUAGCGUAGGCAGGUUGCUGGGACGGUUCUGACACUAAGGCACGAAAGCGUAGGGAGCAAACGGGAUUAGAUACCCCAGUAGUC